rnacentral:rRNA from 1 species
GACGAACGCUGGCGGCGCGCUUAACACAUGCAAGUCGAGCGAGAACCAGACCUUCGGGUCUGGGGAAAGCGGCGAACGGGUGAGUAACACGUGGGUAACCCACCCUUGGUACCGGGAUAGCCCGAGGAAACUCGGAUUAAUACCGGAUGGCCCAACAGCUCUUCGGGGCGGUUGGAAAAGGUAGCUUCGGCCUCCGACCAAGGACGGGCCCGCGGCGGAUUAGCUUGUUGGUGAGGUAACGGCUCACCAAGGCUUCGAUCCGUAGCGGUCUGAGAGGACGAUCAGCCACACUGGGACUGAGACACGGCCCAGACUCCUACGGGAGGCAGCAGGUGGGGAAUUUUGGUACAAUGGGGGCAACCCUGAUCCAGCCAUGCCGCGUGCGGGAAG